rnacentral:lncRNA from 1 species
CACAGGGGUCCCUUAUGUCGGUGGACUAGGUGGCACACCUGGGUCCCACCAAAGAGGGGUCGGGCGACCCCCUCCCUGUGGGCCCAGGGUGUCACCUAUUGUCCCCUCGAUCUCCUCUUGAUGAUUCUGAUGUUGGCUUUGUCAAAUAAUGUCUUGAAUUUGUUGUUCCUGCAUAAACAAGCUAAGAGUACAAGUGGAACUAGUUAUGGAUAAAAUAUGUUCAUGUCAUGUCGUUUCCCCUUGCAACCGAGGCAUGUUGACGGUGUUUUGUAUGUGGAUUUCUAUGGUAUAUCCACCGUCAACAAGAUCCCCCAAGCUUAACCUUUGCUCGUCCCGAGCAAACAAUCAAACUUAGCCUCGGUGGAUCAGGUAUUGUUACUAUGUUCACAUUUCAAGAGUACCAUGUGUACAACAAAGUUCUUCUCUUUGCAUGAAAAAUUUAGCUAUGUAAACUUACCCCUAUUACCUUAGUCCCUUAUGGGGCUUAUGGAUUUUCCUUUGUCUUAGGUGGUUGAGAGACAGAACAGUUUGACUUGAGCACUAACUUUCUCAUUCUUAGCAAGUUUCAUAUCAGAGGUUUUGUGAUAUUUUCAAAAGAAAGCUUAAAUGUUCCUCUUAUGGUUCUCUCAUGUCACUCAAAUGGUGUAUGAUUCCUCACCAAGGCAUAUGGUAAGAGUUGCCUUCUCUAUUUCAUCCUAUUUCUAAAAGGCUUAUGUGGAGUUCAAGGUAGGGAUGAAAGGAGAUAGCAUACUUACUUUGCAUGUAUUGCGAAGUCAAAGCUCGGAUCCUUGAAGAGAAGUGUCAUACUCCCAGAUCAAGAUGUGCAAGUGUGAUAUAUGGUGGACUAGGUUGCUCCUUUAUUUGAUAGACUCCCUAUGUAUUGAGACAUGGCUAGCAUUUUUUUCUUCUUUUUUUUUAUAUAUGAGCUUUCAUGUGCUCAAUUUUCUUUUUCUGUGGACUUGCACAUGUCCAUCUUUUUAUUUCAUUUUGCCUAGCCCUUUUGAUGUCUCAUUUACCAAAUAAUGCUUAGAGAGAUGUUCUAACAUUUAGAGUAUGGAGCAACCUAUUUAGUGGAUGCGAAAUACAUGUGGUUGCGUACUUCCAGUGUAGAAGCAGCAUAUAUAUAUGUGGUGUGUACGUGAUCUUGAUCUUAGGAGCAUGAAAAGUCUCUUAACAAGGGUCAACAAGACUUGACGACACUCAACACAAAGCAAAUAGCUUAUGUGGAAAGGUUGCAAUUAUGUAAAGUAGAUAUGGCUGUGGUAGGAAUUCAUCACCAUUGAGGAACAAUUAAGGUUUUGAUCAUUUUAAGAAUAAAUCUCUGAUAAUCAUGCAUGCUUAGAAAAAUAUUAUAGUAGCUCUUGUCUUACUAUCUCAUGU